AAAUUUUUAUUCUAGAUAAAAUUAAACUUUUUUUUAUAUACACGAAAAAAAAAAUAAAUUUAUACAAAUCGGUAUAAAAAAUUUUUAAUAUAAAAAAUAUAUAAAAAGAAAAAAAGUUAACUGAUUAAUUAAGUGCCAGCAAUCGCGGUCAAACUUAAAGUCCAAUUAAUUUAACGGAAAAUGUAGUUAAAGAAAAGAAAAGAACUUUAAAAACUAUAUAAGAAGUUAAAUUUAAAUUAUACAAAAAAUUCAAAAAAUUUUUGAGACUACAAAAUUUUUCAAAAAAAAAGGAUUCGAUACCCUUCUAUUAAAAAAGAAAAUUUAUCCAGGGUAAUAAUAAAGUUUUAUAAACUCAAAGAAUAUGGCAGCAUAAAUAAAAUUUAGGGAUACUUGAUAGUUUAAAUUUUGAUAAUCCACAAACACCUUAUUUAAGACUUUAUUAAUUUCUAUAUCUCCGUUUCAAGAAAUUAAUAAAAAUUAAGAUUUUAUACUAAAUAUUUCUAAGAUAGAAAUUCAGGUCAAGACAGAAUAUCUUAAAUACAAUUGAGUAUCAUUGUAAAUAAAGGAAUAAAAAUCUUUUAAAUAAAGUUAAUUAGAGAACUUAAAAGUAAUUUAAUUUCAGAAAAAUUAAAUGAAUAAAAAAUGAUUAUGUGUACAAAUCGCCCGUCACUCUCAACCAAAAUUGAGAUAAGUCGAAACAUAGUAAGUUUAUCGGAAGUUGAACUUAGAUUUU
rnacentral:ncRNA from 1 species